rnacentral:lncRNA from 1 species
AGAAAGAAAAAAAAAAUAAUCAUGCAUGGUGAUCUUCUUGAAAACAAAAAGAAUUCCUUGAAAGAAAAUUUUGUGAAAGAAAAUUGUUCUCUAGUAUCAAUUCUUAAAAAGUAGGGUGAGGUGUUGUAUUUAUUCAAUUUAGUGGUAUCUAACUUCAAGUUUUUUUACUCACUUACCAGAAAUGCCACCAUCCACCUUAUAACCAGGCCACGUUAUAACCUAUUAAAGUCCUCUAAUGUGUGUGCUCAUGACAUGGUGAUUGAUUUUUGAGAAUGUCUGC